AUAAAUUACUUUAUUCUUUCCUCCCAAUCCAAAAUCAAAAUCAUCAAGAAAAAGAGAAAAAAAAAAAAUGAGUGCCUCAAUCACUUCCCUUGCUUCCUUCUUCUUCCUUGGAGCCCUCCUACACCACGCGGUUGCCGUCGACCACAUUGUCGGAGGCGAUCAUGGGUGGAACCUCCCACCAACCCCCACCUUCUUCUCCGAAUGGGCUAGCAAUUCAACCUUCUACAUCAAUGAUAGACUCAUAAUCAAAUCAAGAGGCAACGAAGUUCACGACGUUGCAAGCCCAAAAUCUCAAGCAGAUUUUGACGGAUGUGUCCUCCCACCAUUUGUUUAUGAUUUUGUUGGUUUCAUUUCGUUACCGCGUGUUGGCCGCUUUUAUUUUAUCUCCGCUAUGGGAAAUGAUUGCAAUGCAGGAAUGAAAUUUGCUAUCGACGUCCUACCAAUGUUGUGAACAUGAAUGCCAAAUUGUUGGAGGAUGAUAUCAUCAUUUUCAAAUAAUACCACACACAUAAUUGUGGGACUUCCUGCA